AUGGCCUCCCCCAACCCCGCCGCGGCCGACGCGGCGGGGCUGCAGAAGAAGAUGGAGGCCGCGGCGGGGGGAAGCGAGGGGCCGCCGCCCGCAUACGGCGCGGCGGUCGCGGAGCAGGCCCCGCCCAGGAGGCUCGCGCCGGCGCGGAAGGAGCGCGUCUGCACCGCCAAGGACCGCAUCAGCCGCAUGACGCCCUGCGCCGCCGGGAAGCGCAGCUCCAUCUACCGCGGGGUCACCCGGCAUAGAUGGACAGGGCGAUACGAGGCUCACCUUUGGGACAAAAGCACAUGGAAUCAGAAUCAGAACAAAAAAGGGAAACAAGUAUAUUUGGGCGCAUAUGAUGAUGAAGAGGCUGCGGCAAGAGCCUAUGAUCUUGCUGCAUUGAAAUACUGGGGAGCUGGAACACAGAUAAAUUUUCCUGUCUCCGAUUAUACAAGAGAUGUUGAAGAGAUGCAGAUGAUCUCCAAGGAGGACUAUCUUGUAUCUCUUCGAAGAAAGAGCAGUGCCUUCUCUAGGGGAUUACCAAAAUAUCGUGGGCUUCCCAGGCAGCUCCAUAAUUCCAGAUGGGAUGCUUCUUUGGGACAACUACUUGGCAAUGACUACAUGAACCUCAGUUGUGGAAAGGGCAUCGCACUGGAUGGAAAAUUUGCAGGAAGCUUUGGGUUAGAGAGGAAAAUUGAUCUAACAAAUUACAUUAGGUGGUGGGUACCCAAAAAGACACGGCAAUCAGAUACAUCAAAAGCAGAAGAGGUUGCUGAUGAAAUCCGUGCUAUAGAAGGUUCAGUGCAACUGACUGAGGCCUAUAAGCUGCCUACUCUUGGCCUCGGUUCCCAUUCAAACCCCUCUUCAGCGGGGCUAUCUGCGUGCAGUAUCUUAUCUCAGUCUGGUGCCUUCAAAAGCUUCUUGGAGAAGUCUACAAAAUUAUCUGAAGAAUGUACAUUUAGCAAAGAAAUAGAUGAAGGAAAGGUUGUUGUGUCAGUACCUACUACUGGACAUCAUACAUCUCCAGUUGACAUUAACAUGAAUGGGUUGCUAGUACAAAGAGCUCCGUACACAUUGGCCCCUGUUAUGCCUACACCAAUGAAAAGUACCUGGAGCCCUGCCGAUCCUUCCGCGGACCAUCUAUUUUGGAGCAACUUCAUCUUGCCAUCGAGUCAACCUGUCACAAUGGCGACAAUAACGACAACAACGUUUGCAAAGAAUGAGGUGAGUUCAAGUGAUCCAUUCAAGAGCCAGGAGUAUGAACAUACCAAAUAG
rnacentral:rRNA from 1 species